AAGACUGUGCUUCACAGGAUAAUUUCUGUAGGCUAGUUUUCACUAAUUUUUUUUUCAAAGGAACAUUUUGAGCUGGGUGGAGAGUAGC